rnacentral:lncRNA from 1 species
CCACUGCCUAAAUAAAUAUUAAAACUUUGCCUCUCUUUUAUAUUUCAGAUUUAAUUGUAAAUAGAAGUUCUGAUGUUUCCUUAUGGAAGUACAGGGAGGACUGAGGGCGGUGGAGGAAGAAUGAAGAGGGCUGGUCUGCUUGUUACUCAUCCUGUGAGUCACUGCUUGCGUGUCUGAAAACUACAGAUCUUUCGUGAGUAACUCAAACUCUUUUUAACUAAAAGCUUAAGUAAUCCUUGGAGGAAAUGAGAGUUUAUAAUUGGAUUACCAGAUCCUAUUUAAUCUUAUAA